rnacentral:rRNA from 1 species
AGUGAACGCUGGCGGUAGGCCUAACACAUGCAAGUCGAACGGCAGCACAGUAAGAGCUUGCUCUUACGGGUGGCGAGUGGCGGACGGGUGAGGAAUACAUCGGAAUCUACUUUUUCGUGGGGGAUAACGUAGGGAAACUUACGCUAAUACCGCAUACGACCUACGGGUGAAAGCAGGGGAUCUUCUGACCUUGCGCGGUUGAAUGAGCCGAUGUCGGAUUAGCUGGUUGGCGGGGUAAAGGCCCACCAAGGCGACGAUCCGUAGCUGGUCUGAGAGGAUGAUCAGCCACACUGGAACUGAGACACGGUCCAGACUCCUACGGGAGGCAGCAGUGGGGAAUAUUGGACAAUGGGCGCAAGCCUGAUCCAGCCAUACCGCGUGGGUGAAGAAGGCCUUCGGGUUGUAAAGCCCUUUUGUUGGGAAAGAAAAGCAGCAGGUUAAUACCCCGCUGUUCUGACGGUACCCAAAGAAUAAGCACCGGCUAACUUCGUG